CUGUCUCGUUGUUGCUUUUCUCAAUUUUCUUUUUCUUUCUCUCUCUCUCUCUCUCGUUCUCCCCACUAUUGAUGGGACAUGCUCUAAACAUGGCGGAUGGUAUAAAAAGGUCCGCUUGAUACGGGAUGCGAUCAGUCUAAGUCGUGUCUAAUUGCAGUGUUGUUUGAUUAUUCAACAUAUUUUUCGAGUGUUAUUAUACCUCUUGUUAACCUUACUCAUUUUCUUUUUUUUUUCUUUUAAUCUUUUUCUUCUAAUUCUUAUUCUUCUUUGUGUGGUGUUUCCUCAAAGGAUCAACACGAAGUUGAAUUUUAUUGAAAAGAAAGAAAGAGGGACAGAAAAUAAAUAAUAUAUUCGAGGAAUACAACGAAAUAAAAAGAAAGAAAGACAUUUUAUCAUCUUCGGUAUCAAACGAUAAAGAAAAAAAAGAAAAAUAAAAAUAAAAAAAAAAGAGAGAAAGAUAAAGAUAGAAAAAGUGGUGUCCUAUGCGUUUGCUUGAGAUAAAUAGAAAAACUUUGGAAGGAAACGUUGAAGGAGGAGGAGGAGGAAAAGGAGGAGGAGGAGGAGGAGGAGGAAUAGGCGGGCAUAUAUGAAAACUUACCGCGAGGAUAAUCGUCAAUAUUUUAGGGUUACCUCGAUCAUCAUCGUCAUGAAGUAAAAUAACCGAAGGGAAGGACUACCAAAAUAUUAAUUUCCUCUUAACGAGGAAAGUGACAAGAGAAAAAUACGCCGGCCAAGAGGCGCGGCAACGAAUUCAGCUCCAAGCGACCGAACUGAGUCCUCAGUGUAGGCUAGUCGGCUCGCUCAAGGUGCUCCCAUAGUUUUCCAAAGGCUUAUCCUACCUGACUCUAACGAAAAUAAAACA